rnacentral:rRNA from 1 species
UUUAAGAGCAUAUGGUGGAUGCCUAGGCUUCUGAGAAGCGAUGAAGGACGCAGGGUAGCUGCGAAAAGUCUCGGGGAGGUGCUGACCAACCUUUGAUCCGAGAAUCUCCGAAUGAGGAAACUCCGCCCGUAGCGAUAUGGGUGACACUGAUUUAAUUCAGUGAGCGUACCUGGGGAAGUAAAACAUUUCAGUACCCAGAGGAAGAGAAAAAAAUGUGCAUGUAUGUGCACGAUAUUUCGUGAGUAGCGGCGAGCGAAAGCGGAAGAGCCCAAACUCGAUCUAAAUCGUGGGGUAUGUAGCAAUACGUACAACACGAUUUAGAUCGGGGGUUGUAAGGUGGAAAUGUCGUUAUUUAUAAUGAGAAGAGUUACAAAACGUAGUGUUAGUUGAAUCCGCUGGAAAGCGGAACCCUAGAGGGUGAUGGUCCCGUAAACGAAAAUACUAUGUCUCUUUUGUUUCCAUUCUUGAGUACCUCAGGACACGAAUAGCCUGAGGGAAUCCAGCAGUACUAACUGCUAAGGCUAAAUAUUCCAGAAGACCGAUAGUGAACUAGUACCGUGAGGGAAAGGUGAAAAGCAGCCCGGAGAGGGCGAUGAAAUAGACCUGAAACCAUAUGCUUACAAGGAGUCGGAGCGGUAAUUUAUUACCGUCACGGCGUGCCUAUUGAAGAAUGAGCCAACGAGUUAAUGCAUGCUGCGAGACUAAGCCCUUUGUCGGGUGGAGUCAUAGGGAAACCGAGUGUUAAAAGCGCGCCAUAGUAGUACGCAUUAGACCCGAAGCCAGGUGAGCUUGCCAUGAGCAGGUUGAAGUUUGUCGAAAGACAGAUGGAGGACCGAACGCUAGAGACGUGCAAUACUCUGCGAUGACUUGUGGUAUGGAGUGAAAAGCUUAUCGAACCUGGUAAUAGCUGGUUCUCUCCGAAAUAUGUUUAGGCAUAGCGUCGUAUGUUCCCUCGAGGGGUAGAGCACUGGAAGAUCUCGACAGGUCGAAAGAUCGCGAGACCUAUCAAACUCCGAAUACUCGAGAUUAAAAAUACGGCAGUAAGUCCGUGGGGGCUAAGCUCCACAGGACAAAAGGGAAACAGCCCGAAUCUCAACUUAAGGUCCCAAAAUGUAUGCUAAGUACAAGCGAGGUGGUGAAUCUUCUCUGACGGUGAGGAUGUUGGCUUAGAAGCAGCCAUCAUUUAAAGAAAGCGUAACAGCUCACUCACUUAGAGGAUUUGCGCCGCAGAUGAUCGGGGUUAAAGCAUACUACCGAAAUUGAGGGCUUUAUGUUUCUUCGGAAACAUGGAGCGGUAGGAGAGUAUUCCACUCUGCUGUGAAGGAGAAGGGGUGACCCACUCUGGAGCGUGUGGAAGUAAGAAUGUUGGCACAAGUAACCACAAUGUAGGUGAGAUACCUACACGCCGAAAGACUAAGGUUUCCUUCGCAAUGGACAUCAGCGAAGGGUUAGUCGGGCCUAAGGGGAUGGCGAACGCCGAACCCGAUGGACACAUGGUUAAUAUUCCAUGACUGGCGUGCGGUGCGAUGGGAUGACGGAGAACAGUAGGAAAUGCCCCUUAUUGGAUUGGGGUCUUUGGUCUCAGGGUGAUUGCGAGGAAAAUCCCGCAGUCUGUGUUUAAUCACGAAUCUAAGGACAGGAGGGAAGGCGUAGUUUACUACGCGGAACAUUUCUGAGCGGGCUCUCAAGAAAAGUCUCUAAGCAUAACCGUACGCUAUCCGUACCGAAAACCGAAACAGGUGGUCGGCUCGAGAAGAGCAAGGCGAACGAGUGAAGGUCCUCCAAGGAACUCGGCAAAAGAUCAGCCGUAACUUCGGAAUAAGGCUUGCCCCUAGCAAUAGGGGCCGCAGCUAAAGAAUCUCUGGCGACUGUUUAUCAAAAACACAGCUCCCUGCGAACUCGAAAGAGGAUGUAUAGGGGGUGACACUUGACCAAUGCCAGAAGGUCAACUAUCGGCGGUGCUAUGUAUUUAUAUGUAGUGCUGACUGAUAUAAGCCCUGGUGAAUGUCGGCCGUAACUAUAACGGUCCUAAGGUUCUGUACCUUUCCAAAAGAAGGGUACAGAAGGACUGGGACCGGAAAUAGUUUGUGCGAUAAAUAAGUCCCUUAAUAGAUAAUUACACAGAUAGCUACCUGGCUUUGCAGUAAUGCAUUGUCAGUCCAUACAUGACUAACGAGAGACCAGCGUCAUGCAUCCUACCUUUCGAGGAGGAUGGAGAGAGAGUCCAACUUUGAGGAAUAGUUGAGCGCAAUUCCUUGUCAGGUAAGUUCUGACGCGUUGAAUAGUGUAACGUCUGGAGAACUGUCUCGGAGGACAGCUCGGUGAAAAUACAAUCCCGGUGAAGAUGCCGGGUACCUGCAGUUAGACGAAAAGACCCUAGAAGCUUUACUACAGCUUGAUAUUGAGCAUACGAUUGUGAUGCGUAGCAUAGAUGGGAGGAUUUGAAGGGCGCUUUCGGGUUGCCUGGAUCCGUCAGUGAAAUACCAUUCUUCAUCGUUGUAUGUUCUAACCCCGAGGGAAAAAACCGCGGGAGACAGUAUCUGGUGGGUAGUUUUAGUGGGGCGCUAUCCUCCUAAAAAGUAACGGAGGAGCCUAUUAAGGUCAGCUAGCCGUGGAUGGAAACCAUGGCGAUAGUGUAUGGGCACAAGCUGGCUUAACUGUAAGACGUACAUGUCGAGCAGAUGCGAAAGCAGAGCUAAGUGAACCGACGGAUCGCAUUAGAUGCGGCCGGAGAUUAUCGGACAAAAGCUACUCUAGGGAUAACAGGCUCGUUCCGCCUAAGAGUUCAUAUCGACGGCGGAGUUCGGCACCUCGAUGUCGGCUCGUCUUAUCCUGGGGCUGGAGAAGGUCCCAAGGGUUUGGCUGUUCGCCAAUUAAAAAGGCACGUGAGCUGGGUUCAGACCGUACGUUAGUUGAAAAGUGUAAAGUCGAAAGUUGAAAGCAAGAGAAAUCUAGCUUAUAGACUUUUAGACUUGUGACUUUUGACUCCCGUGCAGUCUGAACAAUCAGGACUGUUAAAAUUUUCGUUUAUUAAAUGAUAUAAAAAAAGGAUGACCAAUCCUUAACACGGCGGUCACCCAUAGUAAUAUGGGAUGACUUCGUUGACUUAUUUCGGUAGAACCCGACCCCGCACAGGGAGGGCAAUACCGAGGGAAGAGAAAAGACUUAGUAGUUACUCGGCCGAGAUUACUCGGUAUGAGUGUUUGCUUCGCUCCCUCACCCGUAGAGACUAAAUGUCAACUUUCCACCGCAAGGGGGAAAAAGUUAUAGUCCAAUGCACGAAGUAAUUCGUGGAAACAUGCGUGAGACAGGUUGGUCUCCUAUCUACUGCAGGCGUUGAUUCUUGAGGGGAUUUGACUCUAGUACGAGAGGACCGAGUUGAACGGACCGCUGGUCUAUCUGCUGUACCGCCAGGUGCAACGCAGAGUAGCUAUGUCCGGAAUGGAUAACCGCUGAAAGCAUCUAAGCGGGAAACCAACCCCAAGAUUAGGAAUCGUUUGAGGGCCCUAGGAGACUACUAGGUUGAUAGGCAUUAGGUGUACGCGCAGUAAUGCGUUGAGCCGAGAUGUACUAAUUACCCGAUCUUAUU